rnacentral:rRNA from 1 species
AUGGCUCAGGAUGAACGCUAGCUACAGGCUUAACACAUGCAAGUCGAGGGGCAUCAUGGAGUUGCUUGCAAACUCUGAUGGCGACCGGCGCACGGGUGAGUAACGCGUAUCCAACCUUCCCUAUAGUAGAGGAUAGCCCGGCGAAAGUCGGAUUAAUACUCUAUGUUUUCCGUUGCAGACAUCUAAGAUGGAACAAAGGCUUGCCGCUAUAGGAUGGGGAUGCGUCUGAUUAGGUAGUCGGCGGGGUAACGGCCCACCGAGCCAUCGAUCAGUAGGGGUUCUGAGAGGAAGGUCCCCCACAUUGGAACUGAGACACGGUCCAAACUCCUACGGGAGGCAGCAGUGAGGAAUAUUGGUCAAGUGGGCGAGAGCCUGAACCAGCCAAGUAGCGUGCAGGACGACCGGCCCUAGUGGGUUAGUAAACUGUCUUUUAUGCGGGGAUAAAGUUCACUACGUGUAGUGUUUUGUAGGUACCGCAUGAAUAAGGACCGGCUAAUUCCGUGCCAGCCGCAGC